AGCUUGCUCUUAUGAAGUUAGCGGCGGACGGGUGAGUAACACGUGGGUAACCUGCCCAUAAGACUGGGAUAACUCCGGGAAACCGGGGCUAAUACCGGAUAACAUUUUGAACCGCAUGGUUCGAAAUUGAAAGGCGGCUUCGGCUGUCACUUAUGGAUGGACCCGCGUCGCAUUAGCUAGUUGGUGAGGUAACGGCUCACCAAGGCAACGAUGCGUAGCCGACCUGAGAGGGUGAUCGGCCACACUGGGACUGAGACACGGCCCAGACUCCUACGGGAGGCAGCAGUAGGGAAUCUUCCGCAAUGGACGAAAGUCUGACGGAGCAACGCCGCGUGAGUGAUGAAGGCUUUCGGGUCGUAAAACUCUGUUGUUAGGGAAGAACAAGUGCUAGUUGAAUAAGCUGGCACCUUGACGGUACCUAACCAGAAAGCCACGGCUAACUACGUGCCAGCAGCCGCGGUAAUACGUAGGUGGCAA
rnacentral:rRNA from 1 species